UACAGAGGUCUCAAGCGUUGUUCGGAUUCAUUGGGCGUAAAGGGUGCGUAGGCGGCGCGGUAAGUCGGGUGUGAAAUCUUGGAGCUUAACUCCAGAACUGCCUUUGAUACUGGAGAGCUUGAGUCCGGAAGAGGUGAGUGGAACUCCGAGUGUAGAGGUGAAAUUCGUAGAUAUUCGGAAGAACACCAGUGGCGAAGGCGGCUCACUGGUCCGGUACUGACGCUGAGGCACGGAAAGCGUGGGGAGCAAACAGG
rnacentral:rRNA from 1 species